GGAUGUAACACAGGAAGAGGAAGAGGAUGUAACACAGGAAGAGGAAGAAGAUGUUUUGAGGAAGUUGUGAAAUGGAGUGUUAUUGUGAAUGUGAUAUCUGACUGUUAUCAUAGAUGUUUAAGCAGUGGUCUAUCUUGGUACCCUCCCUAGACGAUGGUUAGAUCACAGGCAGUGGUACCCUCCCUAGACGAUGGUUAGAUCACAGGCAGUGGUACCCUCCCUAGACGAUGGUUAGAUCACAGGCAGUGGAAAGGGGUGUCUAUUCAGUCACAGUGGCUGAGUCACAAAUGGCAACCUAUUCCUUAUAUAGUGCACUACUUUUGGCCAGAGCACUAUGGGGUAGGCUAUAGGGCAUGGUUAGGGAACAGAGCCCUAUGGGGUAGGCUAUAGGGCAUGGUUAGGGAACAGAGCCCUAUGGGGUAGGCUAUACGGCAUGGUUAGGGAACAGAACUCUAUGGGGUAGGCUAUAGGGCAUGGUUAGGGAACAGAGCUCUAUGGGGUAGGCUAUAGGGCAUGGUUAGGGAACAGAGCCCUAUGGGGUAGAAAACAGAGCCCUAUGGGGUAGGCUAUAGGGCAUGGUUAGGGAACAGAGCCCUAUGGGGUAGGCUAUAGGGCAUGGUUAGGGAACAGAGCCCUAUGGGGUAGGCUAUAGGACAUGGUUAGGGAACAGAGCCCUAUGGGGUAGGCUAUAGGGCAUGGUUAGGGAACAGAGCCCUAUGGGGUAGGCUAUAGGGCAUGGUUAGGGAACAGAGCUCUAUGGGGUAGGCUAUAGGGCAUGGUUAGGGAACAGAGCUCUAUGGGGUAGGCUAUAGGGCAUGGUUAGGGAACAGAGCUCUAUGGGGUAGGCUAUAGGGCAUAGUUAGGGAACAGAGCCCUAUGGGGUAGGCUAUAGGGCAUGGUUAGGGAAUAUCUUUCCUAUCUGUUGUUACUGAAAGGCUUAUGGGAUGCGUCUGAAAUGGCACUCUAAUUCCCUUUACAGCACGAUACUCCUGACCGGAGCCUCACAAGCUCUGGUCUAAGACUUACCCCAUAUGGCUCUGUACAAAAUGAGGGCACUACCGAGACAAUACAGGGGCCAUUUGGGACACAGCCCAGGACAACAGUUGGUAAUGAUGGAGAGACAGACAGCAGGAAGUCCCCCUGGUGUUUAUUAAAG
rnacentral:lncRNA from 1 species